UACGUAGGGCGCAAGCGUUGUCCGGAAUUAUUGGGCGUAAAGAGCUCGUAGGCGGUCUGUUGCGUCCGCUGUGAAAACCCAGGGCUUAACCCUGGGCUUGCAGUGGAUACGGGCAGACUAGAGGCAGGUAGGGGAGAAUGGAAUUCCCGGUGUAGCGGUGAAAUGCGCAGAUAUCGGGAGGAACACCGGUGGCGAAGGCGGUUCUCUGGGCCUGACCUGACGCUGAGGCGCGAAAGCGUGGGGAGCGAUCCGG
rnacentral:rRNA from 1 species